GUGCCUUUUAGCAUGUUUAGUAGGUUUUUGAAUGAAAAAGGGGGAGGGCUUGUAUGAAGAGGUGAUAUUUUCCUGCAAUUUAAAACCUCGUGAAUGUUUUUGUUGUAUAAAUAAUCCCAGUGGCGGAUCCAGAAUUUUUCAUAAGUGGGGGCUCACUGACUGCCUAAAAGGGGACCCGCUCAGGUCAUGCUCCAGUGAUUCCCUAUAUUAUUAACCAAAUUUUUCCCAGGGCUGCCUCUGAAUCCUCCGAUAUGUUUAAAAUGUACUUUAAAUAGAAAGGAAAUUACAAAUGGCAUAGUAUAUUACAUGUAAUAAUUUAAUAGUACGUUAUGUAUUAAAAAGUCUAAGGCCAAAAACACUUGAAAUAAUUCAGGGUCAAUUUAGGCCCCUAACACAUACAUUGUAUUUACAUUUAAAAAUGCAUACUACAGCUGUAGUUAUUAAAAUUUGCUUUUUGGGGGGCUGAUUUUUAUUGCAUGUAAUUUUAGUCUCAAGAGGCAUACAUGUAUAUUUGAACCACUUACUUUUCUUUUCUAUCCUACAGUAGAAAAGAAAAAUAACAUGUUAAAUACAGCAGUUACAAAAAAUAUUGUAAAAUGCGAAUAUACUGAAAUCUUUAAUUUUAUGACAGACUUUAUGUACAUACAAAUCUCAUCACAUUUUUCUUGCUCCAUAAAGU
rnacentral:lncRNA from 1 species